GGGGAUGCAAUGGUUUCGACGGGGAUCAUGAAGUAUGAUAAGCGAGUAGAGGUGCGCAGCCUCUUUAAACGGCGCACGUUUUAAAAUUAGACGACAACGAUAAUUUUGCUUUAGCAGCUGCUUAAGUCAGCGCUCGUCUUGCCUGAGAGGACCACGGCUCGGGAUAAGGCGUCGACCAGUGGUGAACGUCAGCGGGCGAUGACUGUGACCUGUUGAUGUAUUACAGUCUGCCGAGCGAACAGGCCUGUCAGUUUGCCUGCCGCAAGGGAGAGCUUUAUAACUGACUACACUCGUAGAAAUUCGUAUGGAUCGGUUUUCGGACAGGAGUUCGAUUCUCCUCAUCUCCAU
rnacentral:tmRNA from 1 species